rnacentral:rRNA from 1 species
UACGUAGGCAGCAAGCGUUGUUCGGAAUUACUGGGCGUAAAGAGCGUGUAGGCGGCCAUACAGGUCAGCUGUGAAACUCGAGGCUCAACCUCGAAGAUGUCGGUUGAAACCGUAUGGCUAGAGUCCGGAAGAGGAGACUGGAAUUCUGGUGUAGCGGUAGAAAUGCGACAGAUAUCAGGAGGAACACCGGUGGCGAAGGCGGGUCUCUGGGCCGAAUACUGACGUGAGGAGCGAAAGCGUGGGGAGCGAACAGGAAUU